GGCCGCUUCAUCUUCCUUCUCUCUCUCGCUCAACACGAAGCAACUCAAUGUCGAAUCAAAAGCACUCCUAAUUACCGCAUGACCUCUCUCGCUCGCCGCCGCCUCCACCGCCUAAUCCACCAUGGACGACACCUCCAAUCCCAAAGCUAUCAAGCGCCGCCACAAACACACCAGUGACGUCGACGACGAUGAAGGAGACCCUGAGGUCUGGGCAACAUUCAACUCCACUUUCCGGCAAGUCCAAUCGGUACUUGAUAGGAACAGAAAUUUGAUCCAACAAGUGAACGAGAAUCACCAGUCUAGAGUCCCCAACAACAUGGUCAAAAACGUUGCGUUGAUUCAGGAACUUAAUGAUAAUAUCUCCAAAGUUGUCUCGCUUUACUCCGAUUUGUCCUCCAGUUUCUCUACUUCUUAUCAGCAGCGUAACGGUGAAGGCUCCGGUAACAGUAGCAGUAGUGGAAGGUCGUAAUUUUCAAUAUUUUGGGUGUGUUUUUGUUAUUUUAAUUUGGGUAUUUAUUGAAUUAUUGAUGUAGUGUUUGUAUUUGGAAAUAAAUAAAUAAAAAAUGGUGUGGUGUGCUACUUUAAAAGCUGUAUUAAUUCUCCUCUUGAACUUGAUCAAUUGAGGCAUGUUUAUUGAUAUAUAUAUUAUUUAUGUGGAAUUUUCCUCAAAA
rnacentral:misc_RNA from 1 species